rnacentral:rRNA from 1 species
AAUUGGAGGGCAAGUCUGGUGCCAGCAGCCGCGGUAAUUCCAGCUCCAAUAGCGUAUAUUAAAGUUGUUGCAGUUAAAAAGCUCGUAGUUGAAUUUCGGGACUGACAGGUUGGUCGCGCCUUCGGUGUGUACUGGCCUAGUCGGUUUCUCCCUUCUGACGAACCACGAUGUCAUUAAUUUGGUGUCGUGGGGAAUCAGGACUGUUACUUUGAAAAAAUUAGAGUGUUUAAAGCAGGCUUAGGCUUGAAUACAUUAGCAUGGAAUAAUGAAAUAGGACGUUUGACCCUAUUUUGUUGGUUUCUAGGAUUGACGUAAUGAUUAAUAGGGAUAGUUGGGGGCAUUAGUAUUCAAUUGUCAGAGGUGAAAUUCUUGGAUUUAUUGAAGACUAACUACUGCGAAAGCAUUUGCCAAGGAUGUUUUCAUUAAUCAAGAACGAAAGUUAGGGGAUCGAAGACGAUCAGAUACCGUCGUAGUCUUAACCAUAAACUAUGCCGACUAGGGAUCGGAUGAUGUUAAUUUUAUAAUGACUCAUUCGGCGCCUUACGGGAAACCAAAGUGU